AGAGUCAAUGCGGAUUGUAACGUGUGGUAGUGCUAAGCUAACUCUUUCGGUGUUUUAGAAAGAAAAUAUGGGUGCUUAUUGUUGCGUUACCGGGUGCAACAGCGUCUCCUACGACAAAAAAAGGGGUUAGGAAAAAUGGACUCACUUUUCACCGUUUUCCUGCAUGGAGGACCAAAUAUCAGAUCACGAAGGAAAACCUGCAUAUGAAAUGCUGACAACACAUCCCGAUUGGUCACCAUAUCUCUUCUUGGGUUAUUCUGAGGUCAAGCGCACCACAUCGGAGCGUUAUGAGAGGUUGGAAAGGCGAAGAGUGCACGCUGAAACUUCAGUUUGCUCUGCUCUUACAAACACAAUCCCAAGUGUUGUUAUGAAAAGUCAAUAAAAUAUGAAUACCAAAA